ensembl:lncRNA
UUUUUAAAACUUCUCCAAUAGUAUCGGGCCAUUACUAUGUCAAUCAACGCUUGACUAUAUGCGUAGUUCAUUUUUGAUGCCAACACAGUCGCAACAGUCCCAUUAGUUUUCAUUGCUGCCUCGUUUGAAUGCCGCGGUUGCGCAAAUUUGUACGGAAUGGGGUUAGUCAACAGUAGCUAGCUAGCAUAAUCAUUAGAAAAGUAAUCAUUCAUCUGCUAAGACCUAGCAACUGACAUAAAUCCCAUGAUUUAUUGUUCACCCAGUUAGAACUGGAGUUUUAGUCGAACCACGACUGAAGGCUGCAAUCCACUCCCAGUUAGACGGGGUCUGUUCAGGCCUCUGUCAGCUCCACAAUGCCCUGGGGGACAUGAAGGACAUCCAGAACUCUGGCAGAAGUCAGCAAUGACUGGAGGCAAGGCAUCAACACCAUUGAACGUGCAGUAUGUAAAAUAUGCUGGGAUGCAACACAGUCAGCUAACCUCAGCCAUGGAGAACUUGGAAGAAUAUAUUUUCAGUUUCACUAAGCAGCUACCCUCAUACAACUUGUUUGAAGGUGAAAUCACAGUAGGAGAAAACCUAAGAUUUUAGUUACAGCAGCACACUGACAUUAUAAAAGGCAAGAGGUUGAAUGGGCCAACAUGAAGGGUGACUACCUCAUGAAGCUGGUUGAGAGAAUGCCAAGAGUGUGCAAAGCUGUCAAGGCAAAGGGUGACUACUUUGAAGAAUCUCAACUAUCAAAUAUAUUUUGAUUUGUUUAACACUUUUUUUGUUUACUUCAUGAUUCCAUAUGUGUUAUUUCAUAGUUUUGAUGUCUUCACUAUUAUUCUACAAUGUUAAAAAUAGUCAAAAUAAAGAAAAACCCAUGAAUGAGUAGGUGUGUCCAAACUGGUACUGUAACUCCAAAUAAAACAUUUGAAC